AUAUCUCUCCGUACGGGAAGGAUGAGAAGCUUCGACUAAGGUUCGACUCGAGCGAAAGCGAGAAAGCGUUGCCGCAGGCAACGACCCGAAGGGCGAAGCGCGCAGCGCUGAGUCAUCCUUCCCCCACCACCA
rnacentral:sRNA from 7 species